AAACUGGGAUUAGAUACCCCACUAUGCCUAGCCCUAAACAUUGAUAGAAUUUUACAACCACUAUCCGCCCGGGGACUACAAGCAUCAGCUUGAAACCCAAAGGACUUGGCGGUGCUUUAGAUCCACCUAGAGGAGCCUGUUCUAGAACCGAUAACCCCCGUUUAACCUCACCUCCCCUUGUUAAUACCGCCUAUAUACCACCGUCGUCAGCUUACCCUGUGAGGGACUAAUAGUAAGCUAAACUGGUAUAACCCUAAACGUCAGGUCGAGGUGUAGCGUAUGAGGAGGGAAGAAAUGGGCUACAUUCGCUACAAAUAGCGAACACGAAUGAUGUCCUGAAACGUACAUCUGAAGGAGGAUUUAGCAGUAAGUAGAAAAUAGAGUGUUCUACUGAAAUUGGCCCUGAAGCGCGCACACACCGCC
rnacentral:rRNA from 1 species